UGAAAAUAACGACAAGUAAUAUUCUUAAAGAGCUAAGUUUAAUUUAUAAUCGUCAAACACUUUAAGGAGCAUUUAAGUAAGAACUGGAGAUUUAGUCACGAAAGGAAAUUAAAUAACCUGCAAGAAGUCCACCAAACAAGGCAGUAAAUAAGCUGGCUCCUUUGCCGACAAGAAAAAUUGGAAAAAAACAACAACAACAACAACAGCUAUUCUUCAGUAAAA
rnacentral:misc_RNA from 1 species